GGCCACUUAGUCUAGUGGUAAGGACACCUGCACAUGAAUUCAGGAGGCCCGGGUUCGAAUCCCGGAGCAGCCA